CUGGAAAUACGACUUUGGACAAGUCCCUGACUCUCCUGAGCCUUGAUUACUUCACUUCAAAAAUUGGCUGAAAUGAUAUCUAGUAUUAAAAAAAAAAGCAACAUAGAUUAUUGGGCUGCUUUAGAGAAAUGUCCAGAAAAGUGCCUUUGCUAAUGAUAAAGUACCCUAAUGAUAUACUUUUAGCAGCUUUGAUGAGAUAUAAUUCAUAUACCAUGUAAUUUACCCAUUUAAAAUGUACAAUUCAAAAAUUUUAGUAUAUUUUCAGUACUCCAUAACAGUCAGCACAAUCUUCUUUUAGAACAUCUUAUCUCCCCCUAAAAGUAACCUGAUACCCAUUAGCAGUCACUAGUCACUCUCAGUCUGUCUCCCCUCUCCUGUCCCCAUCUCUUGACAACCACUGAUUUGUUACCUCCAAAUUUGCCUAUCCAGGCUGUUCUAGUCAGUUUUUGUUGUUGUUGUUGUUGUUGUUGUUGCUGCUGCUGUUGUUGUGAUCAAAAGACCUGACAAAACACAACUUGGAAGAGGAAAAGUUUAUUUUGGCUCAUGGUUUCAAUGGUUCAGUCCACAGUUGACCAACUCCAUAACUUUGGACCUGAGAUGAGGCAGAACAUCAUGACAGAAGAAAGCAGAUCAGAACAUGGCAACCAGGAAGCAGAGAGAGAGAGAGAACUACACUCAGUGACAAAAUAUAAACCCAAAGGUACCUUCUCAGUGACCUACUUCCUCGAGCCACACUCUACUGGUCUAAAGUUACCACCCAGUUAACCUAUAUUAACUGUCUUCUUCCACUUAGUAUAAUAUUUACAAGUUUUAACCAUAUUGUAGCAUAUAUUCAUACUUCAUUCCUUUUUAUUUACAAAUUAUAUCCCAUUGCUUAGAUAUACCACGUUUUAUUUAUACACUCAUAGGGUAAGAGACAUCUGGGUUGCUUCCACUUUGGAGUUAUUAUGAAUAAUGCUGUGAACAUUCAUUGAAGAGUUUUUGUGUGAAUAUGUCUAUUCAGUUCUUUGGGGUACAUACCUAGGAGUAUAACAGCUGGGUUCUAUGAUAACUCUUAUGUUUAACAUUUUGAAUAAUUGCCAAACUGUUUCCCAAAGUGAUUCUGCCAUUUUAUACUCACCAAUUUAUAAGAAAAUAAACUUCCCUAUAGCUUUGUCAAUAAUGUUAUUGUCUGUCUUUUUAUUAUAAGCAUCCUAAUGGAUAUGAAGUUGUAUCUCAUUGUGUUUUAAUUUGUAUUUCCCCAAAAACUAAUGAUACUGAAUAUUAUUCAUGUCUGAUUAGCUAAUUGCAUAGCUUCUUAGGAGAAAUAUCUAAACUUCACUCAUUUUAAAAUUCAUUUAUCACUGUAUUAGAAGAGAUCUUCAUACAUUCUGAAUACUAGUCCUUUACCAGAUAUAUGGUUUGUUAAUAUUGUCUUCAUUGGAAAAGAGAUCUUUUCACUUCCUGAAUAUUAUCAUUGGCACAAUAAUGCUUGGAUUUUGAUGAAGUUCAAUUUAUUGGCCUUUCUUUUGUUAUCUGUGCUUUCAGUAUUGUAUCUAGGAAGAUUUUGCAUAACCCAAGGUUAUGAAGAUGACUCCUAAGUCUUUAAAAAGUUUUUAUCCCUUACAUUUGGGUCUUUAAUCUAUUUUGAGUUAGAUUUUUUAUGGUGUCUGAUGGGGGUCCACAUUGUAUUGUUUUAUCAAUUUAAUAUAGUCAAAAUAAAAUAUGUUCAUUUAAAAAUCAUAAAAUAUACAAAUAAAUAGAAAUGAAACAUACCCAUGAUUCUAUUUCUUCCAAACUAUUUCUGACUCAUUGGUUUAUAUGCUUCCAAAUCCUGUUCUCUCUGUAUUUCAGUUUAUGUAUGCAUGCACAUACAUAUAGACAUUUUAUGAAAUAAUGAAAUUAUUUCUGUAUGCAGCUU
rnacentral:lncRNA from 1 species